rnacentral:rRNA from 1 species
UACGUAGGGCGCAAGCGUUGUCCGGAAUUAUUGGGCGUAAAGAGCUCGUAGGCGGUUUGUCGCGUCUGCUGUGAAAACCUGAGGCUCAACCUCGGGCUUGCAGUGGGUACGGGCAGACUAGAGUGCGGUAGGGGUGACUGGAAUUCCUGGUGUAGCGGUGAAAUGCGCAGAUAUCAGGAGGAACACCGAUGGCGAAGGCAGGUCUCUGGGCCGAUACUGACGCUGAGGAGCGAAAGCGUGGGGAGCGAACAGG